GACGAACGCUGGCGGCGUGCUUAACACAUGCAAGUCGAACGGAAAGGCCCUGCUUUUGUGGGGUGCUCGAGUGGCGAACGGGUGAGUAACACGUGAGUAACCUGCCCUUGACUUUGGGAUAACUUCAGGAAACUGGGGCUAAUACCGGAUAGGAGCUCCUGCUGCAUGGUGGGGGUUGGAAAGUUUCGGCGGUUGGGGAUGGACUCGCGGCUUAUCAGCUUGUUGGUGGGGUAGUGGCUUACCAAGGCUUUGACGGGUAGCCGGCCUGAGAGGGUGACCGGCCACAAUGGGACUGAGAUACGGCCCAGACUCCUACGGGAGGCAGCAGUGGGGAGUAUUGCACAAUGGGCGGAAGCCUGAUGCAGAGACGCCGCGUGCGGGAUGACGGCCUUCGGGUUGUAAACCGCUGUCGCCUGUGACGAAGCGUGAGUGACGGUAAUGGGUAAAGAAGCACCGGCUAACUACGUG
rnacentral:rRNA from 1 species